CGCUAGCUACAGGCUUAACACAUGCAAGUCGAGGGGCAGCAUGAACUUAGCUUGCUAAGUUUGAUGGCGACCGGCGCACGGGUGAGUAACACGUAUCCAACCUUCCGUUUACUCAGGGAUAGCCUUUCGAAAGAAAGAUUAAUACCUGAUAGUAUGGUGAGAUUGCAUGAUAACACCAUUAAAGAUUUAUUGGUAAACGAUGGGGAUGCGUUCCAUUAGGUAGUAGGCGGGGUAACGGCCCACCUAGCCUGCGAUGGAUAGGGGUUCUGAGAGGAAGGUCCCCCACAUUGGAACUGAGACACGGUCCAAACUCCUACGGGAGGCAGCAGUGAGGAAUAUUGGUCAAUGGGCGAGAGCCUGAACCAGCCAAGUAGCGUGAAGGAUGACUGCCCUAUGGGUUGUAAACUUCUUUUAUAAAGGAAUAAAGUGAAGCACGUGUGCUUUUUUGUAUGUACCGUAUGAAUAAGGAUCGGCUAACUCCGUGCCAGCAGCCGCGGUAAUACGGAGGAUUCGAGCGUUAUCCGGAUUUAUUGGGUUUAAAGGGAGCGUAGGCGGAAGUUUAAGUCAGUUGUGAAAGUUUGCGGCUCAACCGUAAAAUUGCAGUUGAUACUGGAUUUCUUGAGUGCGGUAUAGGUAGGCGGAAUUCGUGGUGUAGCGGUGAAAUGCUUAGAUAUCACGAAGAACUCCGAUUG
rnacentral:rRNA from 1 species